rnacentral:lncRNA from 1 species
AAAAAAAAAAACAGUUCAAAUGUUAAUCCUUAAUAAAGCUUGGUUAUGUGCGUGUGGAGAGAAGGCAUGGGUAGAUGUGGAUCACUGGCACAUAACAGUGAGCUACCCUGGGAACCUGAUAUUUACCAGAGAAGCAAGUACACACCCCCAGUAAAAGAUCAUGACUGCAGUGUGAUUCAUUGUUGCCAACAUCUGGAAACAAACCAAAUAUCCAUGAAUGAACAAGACAGGCUAAAUAGUUCCUGAUUCCAUUUAUCUGAGGUGUAGAAAGAGGCAAAUUCAUCCCUGGCAGUAAAAGUGAGGUAUCUGGUAUGCAUUAUUUCUGGGGCAGGGGAAGGGUAGAGUUGACAGAGGGGCACAGGGAGCCUCCAGGGAGUUGGAAAUGAUCUACAUGAAAUGGCCAUGGCAGGAAUCAAUCAAACACGAAUCAGUCUCCCACCAAUGUAGCCAGUUAAACACCAGUUUUCUGAUUUAUAAAGAUGUAAAUAAAUAAGAUUUGGAAACUUCACUGUGUAUGGUUCACCUUAAACAUGAAAACUGAGCGUGCAGCAGGCAUCCCAUGGACUGCCUAUUUAGUCCUCACCAGUUCCCCACUCCAGCCAUGUACCCCAUCAGCUGGUUCCCAUCUCCCCAUCCUCAGCACCAGCCCACCUUCAAGUAUCUUCAGGGACUAGGUAAAGAAUGGUGUCUUGAAUU